rnacentral:tRNA from 1 species
GCGAAGGUGGCGGAAUUGGCAGACGCACUACCUUGAGGUGGUAGCGGGUUUACUCUCGUGGGGGUUCGAGUCCCCCCUUUCGCA